AUAUUUCUAUUUUCUUGUAAGCCUCCUGGAGUCAAAGUGAUUCAACAGCAUACCAACAAACAGUAAAUAAUAAUUUUUAAAAACGGGUGCUCAUUUUCCCUCCUGCAGACAACGCCCUUGAAGCCCUGGAUGAGUUCGCCUUUCUGGAAGGAACGCUGGACUGACCCGUUUUGAAGACGAAUCCCUGGAAGGAAAGAAUGAGACUUUGCCAAGGAGAUUGGUGCCUCCCUCUGCGCCCCUCUGCUGAAAACGCUCCGAGGGAAUGCUUUGUAUAUACCCCACCAUGGGGAUUUGUAUAGAUUUGUGGGUGUUCUGUAUUUUCUCUUAAUACAUAUAUCUUUUCCA